rnacentral:rRNA from 1 species
AUACGGAGGAUCCGAGCGUUAUCCGGAUUUAUUGGGUUUAAAGGGUGCGCAGGCGGCCAUUUAAGUCAGCGGUUAAAUCGUGGGGCUCAACCCCAUUCUGCCGUUGAUACUGGGUGGCUUGAUUGCGGUCGAGGUUGGCGGAAUUCGUUGUGUAGCGGUGAAAUGCAUAGAUAUGACGAAGAACACCGAUUGCGUAGGCAGCUGACCAGACCGCAAAUGACGCUCAUGCACGAAAGUGUGGGGAUCGAACAGGAUUAGAUACCCUGGUAGUCCGCACAGUAAACGAUGAAUACUUGUUUUCGGCGAUAUAAUGUCGGAGGCAAAGCGAAAGCGAUAAGUAUUCCACCUGGGGAGUACGCCGGCAACGGUGAAACUCAAAGGAAUUGACGGGG